AGGGUUUGAUUAUGGCUCAGGAUGAACGCUGGCGGCGUGCUUAACACAUGCAAGUCGAACGGGAAUUAUUUUAUUGAAACUUCGGUCGAUUUAAUUUAAUUCUAGUGGCGGACGGGUGAGUAACGCGUGGGUAACCUGCCUUAUACAGGGGGAUAACAGUCAGAAAUGGCUGCUAAUACCGCAUAAGCGCACAGAGCUGCAUGGCUCAGUGUGAAAAACUCCGGUGGUAUAAGAUGGACCCGCGUUGGAUUAGCUAGUUGGUGGGGUAACGGCCCACCAAGGCGACGAUCCAUAGCCGGCCUGAGAGGGUGAACGGCCACAUUGGGACUGAGACACGGCCCAG
rnacentral:rRNA from 1 species